UAGAUUGAAGCCAGUUGCUUAGGGUAUUUAGCUGUUAACUAAAAUUUCGAGGGAUUAUAGCCCUCCAAUCUAG
rnacentral:tRNA from 1 species